AUUUUAACUCCACCUGAAGCCGCUCAGGGGCCGGUACUAAGCCCGGAUAAAGGAGGAGAGUAAG
rnacentral:ribozyme from 2 species